rnacentral:lncRNA from 1 species
UUCUCCGGCGCAAGCGGAUUUUUGCACCAACAGGUCUGAUCAAAGAGUUUCAAUGCUCUUCUUAGAUUGUUUCUCUAUCUUAUUAUGAAAUCAUUUGAAUAUUUUAAAUAAUCUAAAUUUAUAGCAAAUAUAUUUGUAAAUCCAAUACAUCAGCAUGUAUUAGAUUCAAAAUAUCAUUGGCUCAUUCAUCUUUUCUAGUAAAAGAUAAUUUGAUCAUCUUACUAAAGAG